rfam:Danio rerio chromosome 13, GRCz11 reference primary assembly.
GCAUUGGUAAUUCAAAGCUAAAAUUCACACCUCCCACGCAUAAGAUUUGGGUUCUAUUCCCAGCCAAUGCA